AGCUUGUAGCAAAGAAGUCUUCUUAUCUUUAUGGCCAUUGGUCGAAAAUGUGCAACUUAUAAGCAUUUUCAAGACAGAUUGGAUUUUGCUGGGAGCCUCCGUGGACAACAUCUUUCUCAAAUAAAGGAACCUUUUUCUAAGUUAAGUCCUUUGAAGAGAAGGGGAAAAACAAAGACUUCACACUGGAAAUCUUUGAAGGUUGGAAUUUUGGGGAAAGGGGAAAUGACCGAAGAAUCAAAGGAUAGAUCAGAUGCUCUCAAAUUUAUUCUUAGCAAUCUCUCUUCAAGGCACUUCUGUAGGAAAUUGAAUUGCUGACUUUGCAAUUCUGGACUUUUCCCUCCGCCAUUCAUCUGGAAAAGAACGCAAGGGAGGUGUUUGACCUGGUGGGACCACCAGGGCUGCUUCCAAAAAAUCAUGGAUCAAGCAGGACCAAGGAGUGGCCAGCACUGGGACAAAGCUCAAGACCUUCUAGCAACAUCUGGAGGAUGGAAUCCUGAAUUCUAUCACAAUGAUCUUGUCUGGGGACCUCAAUUUCAGAAGAUCACAAUGGAUAAUCUGACUUUCUGGUCUUCUGCUAACUCAUUCAUGAAGAGGACACUGGUCCCAUGAGAAGAGGGAAGAACAAACUGGGAGCAUGGGCUAUAUAAUGUUCCAGAUGGCCGUGCGUUUCUGAUUCAUAUUGGUUAUGGU